AUAAAGGAAAGAGUUCAGUUUAGGAUUUAAAACUCUAAUGUUGACUAAAGGGAAGAGUUCAGUUUAGGGUUUAAAACCCUAAUGCUGACUUAAAUGAAAAGAGUUCAGUUUAGGGUUUAAAACCCUAAUGCUGACUUAAAUGAAAAGAGUUCAGUUUAGGGUUUAAAACCCUAAUGCUGACUAAAUGGAAAAGUUCAGUUUAGGGUUUAAAACCCUAAUGCUGACUAAAUGAAAAAAGUUCAGUUUAGGGUUUAAAACCCUAAUGCUGACUGAAGGAAAAAGUUCAGUUUAGAGUUUAAAAUCCUAAUGCUGACUGAAGGAAAGAGUUCAGUUUAGGGUUUAAAACCCUAAUGCUGACUAAAGGAAAAAGUUCAGUUUAGAGUUUAAAACCCUAAUGCUAACUGAAUGGAAAAAGUUUAGUUUAGGGUUUAAAACCCUAAUGCUGACUAAAGGAAAAGAGUUCACUUUAGGGUUUAAAACCCUAAUGCUGACUAAAGGAAAAAGUUCAGUUUAGGGUUUAAAAUCCUAAUGCUGACUAAAGGAAAAGAGUUCAGUUUAGGGUUUAAAAUCCUAAUGCUGACUGAAGGAAAGAGUUCAGUUUAAAACCCUAAUGCUAACUGAAUGGAAAAAGUUCAGUUUAGGGUUUAAAACCCUAAUGCUGACUAAAGGAAAAGAGUUCACUUUAGGGUUUAAAAACCUAAUGCUGACUAAAGGAAAAGAGUUCAGUUU
rnacentral:lncRNA from 1 species